rnacentral:lncRNA from 1 species
GGAGACAGGAUCUCAAAUAGAACCCUGGCUGGCUUUGGACUAUGUAGCUAAGAGUAACCUUGAACUUCUGGUCACCCUGUUGUACCUUGUGACUGCUGAGAUUAUAGGCAUGUGUCACUGUGCUUGGGAUGUGCGUUGCUGAAGACUGGACACAGGGCUUCCUGUCUGCUGGCCACGCUCUCCACCACCUGAGCUGCACACCUAGACCCUCACAUGGCCUUUUUUAGAUGAUGGUUGAGAAUUCCACAAGCAGUAUUAUAGUGAGAACAUACUAGCUUUUUACAACCCAGUCUUGGCACAUCUUGUUCAGAGCUGUCACAGACCAGCCUAAAGUAAAGGGGAGAGGAGCCUCAUCUCAUGAGGGAAAGAAUGUCAGAUGUUUGGGACUGUGUUUUAAAGCCACCACUGUUGUCAUUGACAAGAGUAUGGGCCAGACGUUUUGUGUCUUCACUAGUAAAUCACAGCAAGUGCUCCAGGACGUAGUAGAGUUCCUAAGUGUGUAUGACGUGAGUAUCUGGAAGUUUUGCUUUUGCUUGCUUAGUGCCUUUUUGUACUAUGUGAAUUUUUUUACAAUAGGCAUAUGGUAGACAUUUUUCUUUUCAAAACCCUGUGUGUGUGUGUGUUUUCUUGUGAGUUUGUUGCACUGUGUGCAUGUAGGUGCCUUUAGAGGAAAGAAAGGGGCAUCAAAUCCUCUGUAACUGGACUUCCAGGUGGUUAUAGCCACCAGAUGUCAGCACUAAGAACCCUACUUGAGUCUUCUGCAGAGUGGUAAUAGCUCUUAGCUACUAAGCCAUCUCUUAAGCCCCUUUUUCUUUUUCUUUCCUUUUUUUUUGUUUUUGUUUUUUGUUUGUUUGUUUGUUUGUUUUGAGAUAGGGUGUUUUUGUGUGGUUCAUACUGACCUGGAAUCCAUGGUCUUCCUCCCUCAGACUCCUGAGGGCUGAGAUUACAGCUGUGCACCACUAUGUGGCUGGCAUAUGUUAGAUUUAUGAAUCAAAAUAAAAAGCAAAUAAAACAUGUGAAUGUUUUAAUUUCUUUUGUGAUAUCCUAGGUAUUUAAAUGAUUUCUAUGAGUUGGAGCUACAGCAUGGUUCUGGUGUUGUGGGCUGGAGCAUCCCAGCCACCAAAGGCGUUGUGCCUUCUCCAAGAGAAUCCCAUACUGCUAUUAUCUAUUGUAAAAAAGACUCUGCGAGUCCUAAGAUGUAUGUUUUUGGUGGAAUGUGCGGUGCUCGUCUGGAUGACCUAUGGCAGCUUGAUUUAGGUAAUCUUAAUUUGACUCAGGAAUUUCUUACGAUUAGUAAAGGAACAGUUUUAAUGUAUUUAAUUUUUUUGUUUAAAUAUUCUUCAAAUUGCACUAAGAUUUUAGUCAGCAUUUAUAGUCUUAGGAACAGAUGAGACAUAGUCAAUUAUUUUGAGCAAAAUUUCUUACAACUAUGGUAGUAGUGUUCCACCUUUAAUAUCGCCUUAAGUUCUGGUUUGUCUAGAAUGGUCCAGCUUUGUGCUUAUUGUUCCUUGUAAUUGUCAGUAGUGCCCUCUGUCACGCAGAGAAGUAUCUGGUUAGGUUGCUCGUUUGUAUGGUUGUCCUCUCUAUCUUCAGAAGUAUGGCUUUCACAGCACACACUAACCAGUGGGAAACCCAGAGGGAAGGGAUUCUACAAGUGAGCAAUGGGGAUUGUGCUUCUCAUUGUUGUCUCUCGUAUAAAUUGUGCUCUUAUUUAAAACUUUAAAAUCAGAAAUACUGUUUGUAACUCAAAAGGAAUGAUGCAUUGAGCACACCUUUCCAAUAUAAGCGUUAAAUUCAACUGUAAAUAGGUUCUGAUUGGCAAGUUUUUUGUGAUGCGGAUGAGUUUCAUCUAAAACAUUUGAAACAUUUUUGAUUUAUUUUGAUUUGAAACAUUUUUGUUUUAUUUUGGUAAAUACUUCUCUUGUUCUAUUUUUUAAGUGUGUAAAUUGAGAUGAUUUGCUGUUAUUAGGUCAAAUUCCUGAUUUGCUUAUUUUUAUUUCUAGAAACUAUGUCAUGGUCCAAACCAGAAACUAAAGGGACAGUGCCACUUCCACGAAGCCUUCAUACAGCCAGUGUUAUAGGAAACAAGUAUGGCUUUCCUUUGUUCUUUUGUUUUUUUUAUUUUUACCAACUGAAAAGAUUCACACAAAAAAAAGUAAAGAUGCUACUUUCUUAAAAAUAGACUACCAAACUUAAUAGUGCCUCCAUGUGCAAAAGUAAUCUGUCUGUGGGAGCUGAAACACCUGCUCACCGUUACCUGUCAGUACUGUCUCUGAUGCUCACCCACACACCGUUACCUGUCAGUACUGUCUCUGAUGCUCACCUGCACACCGUUACCUGUCAGUACUGUCUCUGAUGCUCACUUAGCUUCCUCUCUGUGACUUUCCUCGUAUGGGUGUCAUGGCCAUCAGCAGGUUUCAGCAAGCUGCUUUAUCCUCUCUGUGGUUAGAUUCCCAGCAGCCACAUGGUGGUUCACAUCCAGUAGUAACUCCAGUCCCAGGGAAUCAGAUGCCUCUGCCGGCUUCCUCAGGCACAAGGCACACAUGUGAUGCAUAUGCAUACAUGCAUGCAAAACAGCCAUACUAAUGAAAUAAAAUAUGUCUUGAAAAGAAUUCUCUCUCAUUGGCCACCGUCAGCCUGGGAGAGCAAGGUCUAAAAACCAGGUGGACUAAAUUCUCAUGCAAUAGCCAGCUUUAUUCAGGAUCACAUGAGUAAGGUGUUCAAUCACAAGGACAAGACACAUGUGGCAAAACAUAUUUUUUCAUACAGGCAUAUGAAUAACAACAGCUGAAGUAAAGUGUCCACUACGCCUGGAAGGAGCAUGAACACACAUCCCAAGGACAGUUGUGUGCUUUGAAGAAACUCAAGUCUCAAGACUCUGGUUUUCUUGGAGUUUUCUCACACACUCACAAUUCUCACACUGCUCAAUUCCUGGACUGUGUUCCGACAAGAACCUCUAGGUGCUGGGGAAAGUUUAAGCUUAUUUAUCUGUUUUAACAGUGCCGGAGUUUGAACUGAGAGUUUUACGCAUAUUUCAUAAAUGUCUUACC